AUGAACGCUGGCGGCGCGCCUAACACAUGCAAGUCGAACGAUUAAAGCACCUUCGGGUGUGUAUAAAGUGGCGAACGGCUGAGUAACACGUGGGCAACCUGCCCCUUUCAUUGGGAUAGCCACGGGAAACCGUGGAUAAUACCGAAUACUUCGAGACUUCCGCAUGGAAGACUCGAGAAAGCUCCGGCGGAGAGGGAUGGGCCCGCGGCCUGUUAGCUUGUUGGUGGGGUAACGGCCUACCAAGGCAAUGAUGGGUAGCUGGGUUGAGAGACCGACCAGCCAGAUUGGGACUGAGACACGGCCCAGACUCCUACGGGAGGCAGCAGUGGGGAAUCUUGCACAAUGGGCGAAAGCCUGGUGCAGCGACGCCGCGUGCGGGAUGAAGGCCUUCGGGUUGUAAACCGCUUUCAGCAGGGACGAGGCGAAAGUGACGGUACCUGCAGAAGAAGCCCCGGCUAACUACGUG
rnacentral:rRNA from 1 species